AGCGGAGGAAAAGAAACCAACUGGGAUUACCUUAGUAACGGCGAGUGAAGCGGUAAAAGCUCAAAUUUGAAAUCUGGUACUUUCAGUGCCCGAGUUGUAAUUUGUAGAAUUUGUCUUUGAUUAGGUCCUUGUCUAUGUUCCUUGGAACAGGACGUCAUAGAGGGUGAGAAUCCCGUUUGGCGAGGAUACCUUUUCUCUGUAAGACUUUUUCGAAGAGUCGAGUUGUUUGGGAAUGCAGCUCAAAGUGGGUGGUAAAUUCCAUCUAAAGCUAAAUAUUGGCGAGAGACCGAUAGCGAACAAGUACAGUGAUGGAAAGAUGAAAAGAACUUUGAAAAGAGAGUGAAAAAGUACGUGAAAUUGUUGAAAGGGAAGGGCAUUUGAUCAGACAUGGUGUUUUUUGCAUGCACUCGCCUCUCGUGGGCUUGGGCCUCUCAAAAAUUUCACUGGGCCAACAUCAAUUCUGGCAGCAGGAUAAAUCAUUAAGAAUGUAGCUACUUCGGUAGUGUUAUAGCUUUUUGGAAUACUGUUAGCCGGGAUUGAGGACUGCGCUUCGGCAAGGAUGUUGGCAUAAUGGUUAAAUGCCGCCCGUCUUACA
rnacentral:rRNA from 1 species